rnacentral:rRNA from 1 species
GUGGGGAAUCUUGCGCAAUGGGCGAAAGCCUGACGCAGCCAUGCCGCGUGAAUGAUGAAGGUCUUAGGAUUGUAAAAUUCUUUCACCGGGGACGAUAAUGACGGUACCCGGAGAAGAAGCUCCGGCUAACUUCGUGCCAGCAGCCGCGGUAAUACGAAGGGGGCUAGCGUUGCUCGGAAUUACUGGGCGUAAAGGGCGCGUAGGCGGACAGCUUAGUCAGAGGUGAAAGCCCAGGGCUCAACCUUGGAAUUGCCUUUGAUACUGGCUGUCUUGAGUUUGGGAGAGGUGAGUGGAACUCCGAGUGUAGAGGUGAAAUUCGUAGAUAUUCGGAAGAACACCAGUGGCGAAGGCGACUCACUGGCCCAAUACUGACGCUGAGGCGCGAAAGCGUGGGAAGCAAACAGGAUUAGAAACCCGUGUAGUCC